CAUUAGGCAUGCAAGGUCGAACGAGAAAUUUCCCGAUUCGUCGGAAAGAGUAUAGUGGCGAAUGGGUGAGUAACGGGUAGGUAUCUACCCAGUAGAUUGGGAUAGCCUCNGGAAACUGAGGGUAAUACCGAAUGAGCCCCCAGUUAUCGGGGGAAAGAUGGCCUCUGUUUUCAAGCGGUCACUACUGGAUGAGCCUGCCCCAUGUUAGCUUGUUGGUGAGGUAAAGGCUCACCAAGGCGAUGAUGUGUAGCCGGCCUUAACGGGUGUUCGGCCACACUGGGAUUGAGAUACGGCCCAGACUCCUACGGGAGGCAGCAGUCGAGAAUCGUCUACAAUGGACGCAAGUCUGAUAGUGCGACGCCGUGUGUACGAAGAAGCCCUUCCGGGUGUAAAGUACUUUUUUGUGAGAUAAAGCUUUGAUAGAUUAAUAGUCUAUUGAAGUUGAU
rnacentral:rRNA from 1 species